CAAAACUCUAGAUCGAACAGAGCUUCUUUCUCUGUCUGUAAACACAAUGCAAAUAGGCCAUUCGAUUAUAAAUUGGAAAAAGCUAGGAUUCUAAGGUCCUUGUUUCAUUUGGAAAGCUGCUGAUGGAGGAUGGCCGCUUUAGCCAAAUGAAGAUCUAUGAUCUCUGUAGCACCAGUUUUGCCUACAUACUGGACAUCAACAGCCCUCCAGAGUUAAAAGUGGAAGAUGCCAGGAUCUUUUGCAUGCUAAGCUUCCUCCACCUUGAAACAUGGCACAAAUCAAUACGGAAGAAAAGUGGAAGAAGUUGAACGAAAAUAAAAGAAAGUUGCAUCACUAAGAAAACAUAAGUGUGCCUCCACAGCUAAAUCACUCACAGAGCUGGGAUUAAGAAGACAGUGUCCAAAUAAUAGCAGUUGGCAAUUUCCUUGGCGUGUCAUGCUUCAUUCAAAUCCCAAGGGAGAACUUUUCUCCUGGGUGGAGAGAAAACCAGUGAGGCUACAGAAUGAUGAAGAAGUAUAUAAUUGACAAUGCCGCCCUUGAUUGCCUUGAAAUGAUAUGGUGAGAAGUAUCGUCAAAACAAAGGCAAAAGAAUGCUGAGAAAACCAGAAAUCUCUUUUUAUAGAGGAAAAUAACUUGGACAAAUUAAAAGACAGAUUGUAACAUAACAUUCUUUAUAGUCUUUUCUAACUGGUGCAGGAGCAAAAGAUCAGGACUCCCAGGCUCUACUUUUCAUAGAAUGUGAUAUCUGUGAUAUCUGUGUAAAAUGUUUCCUCAGCAGGGUAUGCAAUGAGUAACAUCCUGGGAACCAAGAGGCUCUUGGUUCCCAAAGUCCUAUGAAUCUACGUAGUAGAAUUUGAGACGUGUGGUCUGAAGAGAUGGAUGAUUUCAUAUGGCAUGCAUCGGACUGCUCUUUUAGACAAACGCAGUUGAGAAAAAUGUAUGCGCUUGAACAGAACUAUGAAAGCAGUUUUUUCCCAUCUUACUAAAUUGCAAGAUUAGAUGUCUAGAUGCAGACUUCUAUGUUAUUUCAAAAGCUAUUUGAAAAUGUCCACAAUGAAAUAUCCACUGUGAGAUCGUGUCCCUGUGGUCAUUAUUAGUAAGACCUAGCAAACCAGUAAUUGAAAUAGUGUUUCGAUUACAGAGAACUCUUCCUCAAACAAUAUGUGUGUAUUUCAGAAAGCAUUGGGUAAAUAAAUAUCCAGAGCAUCCUUCAUUUCCCACAGAAGUUCUUCGAAGAAAAGUUCUUUCGCCUUAUCUUCAGUCCAUCAGUCUGAAGAAAUUCCUCAAUCUAUCUGCCUUUACACUUUGUAGACUUACACAGUUUUUGUGAAAGGAAAAUCUGAAACAGUUUUGAAUUAACCAAAGAUUUAACUCCCAGUCACUAUUAGCUAAUCAGUAUAUAGAAAAGUUGAAAAAGACUAUUUUAAGAAAGGCAGAUCAGUCUUUUAGAGGGUGUCCUUGCCUUUAAUAUGCCAUUUUCAAACUUUGAGUGAUAUACAGACGGUGAAACAUUUAAUUUAGUGCACCUGAAACAUUUCACUUCAUGACACUGUAAAUCCCAGCUGUUGAUAUGGUUUGAUUUCCAGAUAAGAUGACUUUAUAAUUUAGAAUUCACUAUCCCCCAGACUUGUAGAUACACUUAUCAACUUAUAGUGCCCAAAGGACAAAUGGGAAUUAUUUCACAAAGGAACUCACACUAAUUGUAGCAGUCACUCCAUUUUAAUUUCCCUUACAAAUCAAUUCAAUUUAGGGAGUCUGCUCAGAAGGCCACAAUAUACUGUAGCUUGUCAGAAACAGUGUCUUCCAGAAUCUAUAUUGGGUCGUAAUUUUGAAGGGCUACACUUUAUUCUUUGGCAACAGUUCCUACACUGUGAUCCAGGGACUACUUCUAGUCUCUAAGACUUCUGCUGGUGGUCCCAACUGUAGAAAUAUCUGUAUAUGUACUGUAUAGAAAUUUCACUGAAUUCAAUCCCAGGAAAUUGACCAAUCCCACAAAAGGUGAGCAUUAUUGACAGUCUUUUGGCUGUUUUCUUAAAGUAAUGUUUUAUUUAAUGUUGGAUUUGUGUACAUGCCAACUGGAGGAUAAUUUGCACGCCACGUUGCCUGCAAAUACCUCAUUGGUAAUAUCUUAGAUAUAUUUAUCUCCCAACUGAGGAAAAUAUAAAGAACCCAAGGCCAAACCCCUCAGAAAUGAACUGUAUUUUCUUACUUCUUCGGGGGAGGAAAAAUGAAAAAUAUUUCAUUUUCAUUCUAACCAAAUGGGAAUGUUUGCACAAACCUGCAAGACCUUUUCAGCCCAGCGCUAGUAAAAAUGUAUAAGCUAAAGAUCCUACUCUAUUAAAAGAAUUGAUUCAUAGAGGGAAGCCCAAUGCUGCUUCUUCAACAAAAAGUGAAAUGCGCUCAUCCAGCACUGUUUUUUGUUAAUAUCACCCACUUGAGCUCCACUCUUAAGAUUUAUGAUGUCACUAUUAAAGCCCUCUGGGUCAUUACAACCUUGCCUUUCAUCUAGUCUGUAUAUAAAUAAUUGAUCAUCAUAAGGAUUGAAACCUGGGGAAAUGGAGACAACUUAACACAGAUAUUCUUUAUGACAUCAAUUACAGGGGAAAUCAUUUGGUAAGAGAAACGAAUAUUUCAAGUGGAGCAAUAAUGAUAGCUAGCUUCUGCAAUGCUUUCUGCUGCAAAUGAAAUGUAUCCAAGUUCCACUUGAGGAAGAAAAUGCUUUAUUGUUCAGGGAGAGCAUGUCACAUGUGUAUCUGUGUAUGUAACCCAGCUUUCAGCAUAUUAAAGGGUUUUUUUUAAUAACAAAAAAGUGGUGACACCUUCUAGUUUAUGCAUCAAAUUUAAAUAACAUUUUAUAUAUCAUUAACUAUUAAGUAUGACCGACAUCCUAUAUGGAACUGCCUGAGAGUAUUUUCCAUUUUAUUCAAUAGAGUUUGCUUCUGGGUAGACCUGGGUAUGUUUGUGUUUCUAUCUGUCUGAGGACAGGAGUUCCAUGUUAAG